GCUGACUAUGGAGCCGUCACCCUGUGACAAG
rnacentral:piRNA from 1 species